UAGGCAUUCUACGCGAGCUGGUUCGACCCUGUUUCUACCCCUGAGUUCGGUGGGUCUUUUUUCUGGCGUAAAGCUAGAGUGUUAGGAGUUACGGCAUUUACCUUGGUGUGUGAGGAGCUGGCGUCUUUGCGAGGCACUGUGCAUUCCUGCUGUGUGGACGGCUGGGACGGGAUUGGGAUGGCUUUGGUUUCUCAACUUGCAGAGUCCCAGUAAAUCACCUGUGUUGCCAUGUGCGGUGGCGCGCCCCUGUAAUCCCAGCGCUCAGGGGCAGAAGGAUGGCUGCCUGUUCGAAGCCAGCUGCUCGGAUUGGUGGUGUGAGUACUGUGCCCGCCCAGGGGUGGAGCCAGCAUACUGUGCGAUGUCGGGAAGAAGGUGUGUCUCUCCUUUUGCCAGUUUGUGCUUGGUGUUUACCGCAGUCCUGCCGUGCCACCCUGCCUUACAGCCCCCUGAGUAUGAACUGAAACCUCCAAGAACUGUAAGAAAUAAACAUUUCUUUCCCUAAUUUUGGGUGUCAGGUAUUUUGUCUCAGCAAUGACAGAAAAAUAACCAAGACAGGAAGAUAUGGAAAACUGGGAGCAUAUGAAUUUAUUUAUUAUUAUUUUUUUAUUUUUUUAUUUUUUGUAUUUUUACCGGUACCAGGGAUCGAAUUCACGACCACACGCUUGCAAGGCAGGCACUUAUACCGCUGAGCUAAAUCCCCAGCCCCAUAUAUGAAUUUAUUGACUGGGGACCUUGGGGGAAGUUUUAUGGGGAGAAAGGACAGUGGUACAGACUGGUAUAAAUAAAACUGGACUAACUUUGGUAAUGUGACUAAAAAAAUCUGUCUCUACUAAGGAAAUAAAUUGGGUAGAAAGUUUUAAUACACCUUUCCCCCAGUUUUUGCAAUAUGGAAAACUUGGACCUGCCCAAGAAAAUUUAUGAAAAUUGGCUCUUCCCUUUAGAGAAGGGUGCUUAUGGACUGGUAAUGACUUUCUAGUCAGGCUCUUAGCAUUGUACUAUAGGGCUGUUUGAACUUCCAUGUGUAUCUAUAAUCCAUUUUUAAAAUCUUUUUGAGGCAGGGUCUCACUGUGCAAUUCAGGCUUGCCUUGAACUCACUUUGCAGCCCAGGAUGGCCUUGAACUCACAGUGAUCCUCCUGCAUCAGCCUCCUGAGUGCUGGGAUUACAGGCGUGAGCCACCAUGCCUGGCCUACGCAUGUGUUUUAAUGUAUGGGAAUAUACAAUGGGAUGCUAAUCCUUUUACCUAUCCAAAAUGCACCUUGAGUCAGUGCAUUCCCUUCAGAUCUGUACAAAAUAAGACUAGUGAUCCUAGGGCAUAUGCCAGGAGGACGGGUUCCUAUUAAUUUAGCUGAACCAUGACCUUAGACCCCUGCUGCUCAUUUGUUGAUCAUUUCAUCCACAGAGCAGAGUGUGCUGAGACAGAUCACUGCUGGCAUAGUGUCUUUGGUAUUAUUGAUUUCAAGUGUAGCUGUUUCCGCUGCUGCCUUGGCCUGCUCCAGCAGCUCAUUUCUUAGAUAAUUGGGCCUGCUGAUGAGGCCUGGAAUGUACAGUAUUCUUUAGGUGCUAAGCUAAUAAGUGCUUGAGCUUACUCCUCUCGGGAUGGGAGAUCGGACUGAAAGUGUACAGCUACUGCAAAGCCCCACGAGCCGCUAUAACAUUUUCCUUUUUUUUUUUUAUUACUCCUUUACCUUAUAAUCGAUUUAGCCAUGUGUCAGGAUAUAUUAAAAAGCAAAUACAAGGGGCAAGGCACAAAAACGCAACUACGGAUCUUGAUGCCCUCUAAGUGUCCUGCUUCACAUCCAUGCCAACUAUUAUUAUUUUUUUUUAAAAAUAAUGAGGUGUGUCUCAUUGUGGUUUUGAUUUGCAUUUGCUUAGUAAUUAGCGAUGGUGAGCAUCUUUGUGCUUUUUGAGCACUUGUAUAUCUUCUUUGGAGAAUCGUUUAUUCAAGUCCAUUGCUUUUCUUUCUUCCCUUGAGACAGAGUCUUGGUAUGUUCUCUGGGUGGCCUUGAAUUUCUGGGAUCGAGCGAUCUUCCUGCCUCAGCCCUACCAUGUGCUGAGAUAUGGGCGCACACCAUCAUGCCUGGUGCUUUGCCCAUUUAAAAAUCAGAUUUCUUGGUGAUUUGUAGAGUGUUUUACAUAUUGUGGAUGUGAUUCCUUUAUAUGUAAUUUGUGAAUAUCUCUUCCUACUUGUGAGCUGUUUUUCACUCUGUUGACAUCCUGUGAUGCACAGAAAUUUAUAAUUCUGAUGAAGUCUGGUUUAUGUAUUUCUUAAUUUUACUUAGCAUCAUAUAAAAAAAAACCCCAAAACAGAAAGAAGCACAGAAGGGAGAGAGGAAGGAAGAAAACAUCCUGUACUGGUUUCAUAGAAGGAAUUUUACUUUUUAAAAAUUUCUUUUAUGGUACUGAGGGUUGAAAACAGGAGCGCUCUACCACUAUACACCAUCCUUUUAUUUUUUCUUUUGAGACUAAGUCUCACUAAGUUCCCUAAGCUGGACUCAAAAUUGUGACCCUCCUGCUUCAGGCUCUCAGAGCACUGGGUUUACAGGCAUGUGCCACCAUACCUGGCUGUAAAUUUACCUAAUUGUGAAGACAUUGAUGGUCAGAAUUCUUUUGUCCCCCCCCCCAUCUUCUCAAUGGUUCUUGUUUAUUUUUUUCCUCUUCUCUUCUUUUUCUGUUUUGUUUGACCUUUCUCAGUGAACACUUUACUCAGAUAUCUGCAGUUGCUUGGCUCUCCUUGUAAGUCCUUAGUUUUUUAAAAGGAGCCUACUUCUGGAGGGGAAGGUGUGUGUGGUAGACAAAAUAAUGUCCCCAAAGAUCCCCACGGUCUAAAUCCAGGCCUGCAAUGAUCCCAGAAUGGGUCCUCAUCCUGGACCUGGGGUAUGUUGGUUCGAUGGCAAAUGGGUCCCUAACGAUAUGAGGAAGAUUGAGGACUUUGGGAUGGGAGGUUAGCUUGGUUUGUCCCGGGAGAUCCUAAUAAAACAGUCCUCAAAACAGAACCAGGGAGCUGGCAAGUGUGAGAGACUGGGCUGGAAUACGAAGGAGGAGCCACGGCCAAGUAUGCCUUCCACAGCAGGCUCCUACCUGAUCCUAGCCCACUGAGACCCGUGUCAGGCACCAACUACAGAACUCUAAGGCAAGAAUUGCUGUUUUGAGGCGGAGUUUGUGAUCUCUUAACCACUCAGGGCUGGCCUUUUCCAUGCCUAUCUGCAACUUCCUCGACUGCCAGCAGAGGGCGACAGCCACCAACAAGAAGGAAAAGGAACUCAUUUCUUGGCAAGAAGUCAGGGUGAUGGAUGAAGAGGGACACAGAGGAGGGACAGACAGAUACUUCCGAGCAGUCAUGAAAUUGUUUCAGGAACCUGGCUGCAGAUCUGGUCACAGAUACCUCUGAUUUUGAAGGAAAUUGUGUCUUAGGGUAUCGUCAAUUUUCAAUGUUACACUUUAAUAAAAUACACAAGGAGAGAAAGGACCAGAGAAGGGGGGAAUGAAGUAGGGAAAGGAAGAAGAGGAGGAAUGGAACAGCAGAAGAUAAAUGAUUUGGCAGAACGGAGGACAUCCCCAGCCAGCCUUUCUUCUGUGGCUGUGUCCCUCCGAGCCCCUGGCAGGGACAGCACCUGCCACCCAGCUGACACCUGGCUAGGACAUCCAUGCUGGUCCCAAGGCAGAGCUUCAGCAGGAGCAAGCUGUGUCUGUGCCACUGGCAAAGGCUGUGUGGGACAGCAGUGUGUGGACGGCCUGCUGAGGGCACAUCUGUGGCCAGAGGCACUGUGGUUUGCCUUCCGUGUACCUCUUUCUUCUCCCACUCCCGCACUGGCUAGCUCGAUCCUGGACUGACCAGGCUCAAAGGCAGAAAAGCCAGUUGUCUGGUUAUUUGCCAUUUGUUUAGCCUCAUCUCAAACAUCCACGCAGACAUCUACCUAUCCACUGUGUACUCACCCAUCCGCCUACUUAUCCAUCUAUCCAUCUCUCCAUCCACCUAUUUAUCCACUAUCAUGGUUUAUGUUGGUGGCCCCCAAGCCUCAUGCCCUUGCAUUGUGCAUUUGUGCUUGGUUCAUUGUUUAGCGCUUGGAUUGGGGGUGUGAGUGCCACGCCCACAUAGGGGUGGGGCCAGCAUACAAUGUAAUGGCAGGAAGAAGGUGUGUCUCUCUCUCUCCUGCUGGUUUCUGGGCUUGCUGUUUGCAGCCACCAUGAACUGCGGCCCCACCAUGCCACCCUGCCUUGGAGCCAACUGAGUAUGGACUGAAACCUACAGAAACUGUAAGAAAUAAACCUUUCCUUUCCCAA